UGGGGAGUACGGCCGCAAGGUUAAAACUCAAAUGAAUUGACGGGGGCCCGCACAAGCGGUGGAGCAUGUGGUUUAAUUCGAUGCAACGCGAAGAACCUUACCUACUCUUGACAUCCAGAGAAUUCGCUAGAGAUAGCUUAGUGCCUUCGGGAACUCUGAGACAGGUGCUGCAUGGCUGUCGUCAGCUCGUGUUGUGAAAUGUUGGGUUAAGUCCCGCAACGAGCGCAACCCUUAUCCUUUGUUGCCAGCACGUAAUGGUGGGAACUCAAAGGAGACUGCCGGUGAUAAACCGGAGGAAGGUGGGGAUGACGUCAAGUCAUCAUGGCCCUUACGAGUAGGGCUACACACGUGCUACAAUGGCAUAUACAAAGAGAAGCGAACUCGCGAGAGCAAGCGGACCUCAUAAAGUAUGUCGUAGUCCGGAUUGGAGUCUGCAACUCGACUCCAUGAAGUCGGAAUCGCUAGUAAUCGUAGAUCAGAAUGCUACGGUGAAUACGUUCCCGGGCCUUGUACACACCGCCCGUCACACCAUGGGAGUGGGUUGCAAAAGAAGUAGGUAGCUUAACCUUCGGGAGGG
rnacentral:rRNA from 1 species